UACGUAGGGACCAAGCGUUGUCCGGAAUCAUUGGGCGUAAAGCGCGCGUAGGUGGCCAUUUAAGUCCGCUGUGAAAGUCAGAGGCUCAACCUUUGAAAGCCGGUGGAUACUGGAUGGCUAGAGUACGGAAGAGGCGAGUGGAAUUCCUGGUGUAGCGGUGGAAUGCGCAGAUAUCAGGAGGAACACCAAUAGCGAAGGCAGCUCGCUGGGACGUUACUGACACUGAGACACGAAAGCGUGGGUAGCAAACAGG
rnacentral:rRNA from 1 species